AUUGAACGCUGGCGGCAGGCCUAACACAUGCAAGUCGAACGGUAACAGGAAGAAGCUUGCUUCUUUGCUGACGAGUGGCGGACGGGUGAGUAAUGUCUGGGAAACUGCCCGAUGGAGGGGGAUAACUACUGGAAACGGUAGCUAAUACCGCAUAACGUCGCAAGACCAAAGAGGGGGACCUUCGGGCCUCUUGCCAUCGGAUGUGCCCAGAUGGGAUUAGCUUGUUGGUGGGGUAACGGCUCACCAAGGCGACGAUCCCUAGCUGGUCUGAGAGGAUGACCAGCCACACUGGAACUGAGACACGGUCCAGACUCCUACGGGAGGCAGCAGUGGGGAAUAUUGCACAAUGGGCGCAAGCCUGAUGCAGCCAUGCCGCGUGUAUGAAGAAGGCCUUCGGGUUGUAAAGUACUUUCAGCGGGGAGGAAGGGAGUAAAGUUAAUACCUUUGCUCAUUGACGUUACCCGCAGAAGAAGCACCGGCUAACUCCGUG
rnacentral:rRNA from 1 species